rnacentral:rRNA from 1 species
UACAGAGGUCCCAAGCGUUGUUCGGAUUCACUGGGCGUAAAGGGUGCGUAGGCGGUCGGGUAAGUCUGAUGUGAAAUCUCACAGCUUAACUGUGAAACUGCAUUGGAUACUAUCCGGCUCGAGGAAUGGAGGGGAGACUGGAAUACUUGGUGUAGCAGUGAAAUGCGUAGAUAUCAAGUGGAACACCUGUGGCGAAAGCGGCUCACUGGACCAUAACUGACGCUGAUGCACGAAAGCUAGGGGAGCAAACAGG